GCCGGGCGUGGUGGUGGGCGUCUGUAAUCCCAGCUACUCAGGGGGCUGAGGCAGAGAAUUGCUUGAACCCAGGAGGCGGAGGUUGCAGUGAACUGAGAUCGUGUCACUGCACUGCAGCCUGGGCAACAAAGCAAGACUCCAUCUCAAAAAAAGAAAAAAAUGUAAUUCGCUGGGCAUGAUGGUGCAUGCCUGUGAUCCCAGCUACUCAGAGGGUGAGGCAGGAGGAUACUUUGAGCCCAGGAGUUCUAGGCUGCAGUGAGCUGUGAUCUCACCACUGCACUUCCAGCCUGGGUGACAGAGCAAGACCUUGUUUUUU
rnacentral:SRP_RNA from 2 species